UAGGGAAUCUUCCGCAAUGGGCGAAAGCCUGACGGAGCAACGCCGCGUGAGUGAUGAAGGCCUUCGGAUUGUAAAACUCUUUCAUUAGGGAAGAACAAAUGUGUAAGUAACUAUGCACGUCUUGACGGUACCUAACCAGAAAGCCACGGCUAACGACGUGCCAGCAGCCGCGGUAAUACGUAGGUGGCAAGCGUUAUCCGGAAUUAUUGGGCGUAAGGCGCGCGCAGGCGGUUUUUUAAGUCUGUUGUGAAAGCCCCCGGCUCAACCGUGGAGGGUCAUUGGAACCUGGGCGACUUGAGUGCAGAAGAGGAGAGUGGAAUUCCAUGUGUAGCGGUGAAAUGCGCAGAGAUAUGGAGGAACACCAGUGGCGAAGGCGACUUUCUGGUCUGUCACUGACGCUGAUGUGCGAAAGCGUGGGGAUCAAACAGG
rnacentral:rRNA from 1 species